AUGAGCUGUGUGCCGGCUGUUUUAAUGCGACUGCUCUGUGUCCCACAGGGUUUCCGUGGUACUGUGUCUCCAGCGCAACAUGAGUGUAACUCUGACACAGAGAACAACAACAAUAUCAAAAAGGAGGAUGAGCCUCUUUCUCUGACAGCCCAGCAUCAGCAGCAGCGGCAGCAACAGCGGCAACAGCAGCAGCAACAGGAGUACGUCACCCCUUCUUGGUCCCUCUCCCCCUCCUCCUCCCCCAUCUCCCACUCGGACGCCAGUGACUCGGACGCUGGAGAUGAGGACAACGCCAGCCCCCGCGGGCGCGCCCUACGCCGUCGCAAAAAACGACGCGGCACACCUUCAAAGAAAAAGACCCCCCAUCGGACCCCACCUGGGCGGCCACCACUGGUCUCCCCCGCCAACAUUCCUCAACACAGCCGUCCACUUCCUUUGUCCCACCCUCCAGCGCAGUCCUCCCCUCCCUGCUCGUCUUCCUCCUCCUCCUCCUCCUCUUCAGCUAAGCCUGUGUUCAAAGCUCCUGCUCCCCUGGGGUCCAACACCACAAGCAACGUCAACAUAAAUGUCCCCAGAGGAGGAGUGUCCAUAGACUCCAUGCGCCAAACCUGUGAGUACUGUGGACGCCACUUCCGCUCCCUGGGUCGCCACUUAGAUAAACACCAUGCACACCAACCAGAAGUGUGCUCUGCUUUAGUGGAGCGCUACACACAGAUGCCCCGCCUGCACGCACAGAACCCAAACCCCACCACAGCUCACACACAAACUCAGCAGCACUCAAAGUCGUCACAAGUUGCGGGACAGAGCCGCAGUUCAGAUCUUCCACAGAAUGGCGUCCAGGACCUCUCCAUGUCUCCGCCCACUCUCACAGCAGCCAACCAAUCCCCUGCUUCCGCUGGAAGAAACUCCACCCCACCUUUGCUGACUCCUCCGCGAGGACAGAAUGCAGUGCCGGUGUCUGUCUUAAAGAGAAGUCCACCCCCUGUGGCUGUGACACAGUCCAGGAAGGGAGCUGUGAGCAGGCUGAAGAAAGAAAGACAGAACGAGGAAGAAGCGGAUGAGGGGGACGAAGAUGAAGAAGAUGUGGAGGUUGUGGAGGUAAAGAGGCCCAAAGAGGAGGAGGAUGUUGAGGUGGUGUGUCCUCAGUCCUUCAGCUGCAAGUCGCCCAAAGAGAUGGAGCCACCAAAAGAAGAGGAAGAUGAGGAGGAGGAGGAAGAGGAGGAGGAGGAGAAUGGAGUGAUGGAGGUAGAAGAUGAAAGUGGAACAGAAGAUAAGGAAAAGGACCUACUGAGGUAA
rnacentral:lncRNA from 1 species